rnacentral:rRNA from 1 species
GAUCAUAGCUCAGGAUGAACGCUAGCUACAGGCUUAACACAUGCAAGUCGAGGGGCCGCAUGAACUUAGCUUGCUAAGUUUGAUGGCGACCGGCGCACGGGUGAGUAACACGUAUCCAACCUGCCGAUGACUCGGGGAUAGCCUUUCGAAAGAAAGAUUAAUACCCGAUGGCAUAGUUCUUCCGCAUGGUAGAACUAUUAAAGAAUUUCGGUCAUCGAUGGGGAUGCGUUCCAUUAGGUUG